AGUGAACGCUGGCGGUAGGCCUAACACAUGCAAGUCGAACGGCAGCACAGUAAGAGCUUGCUCUUACGGGUGGCGAGUGGCGGACGGGUGAGGAAUACAUCGCAAUCUACUUUUUCGUGGGGGAUAACGUAGGGAAACUUACGCUAAUACCGCAUACGACCUACGGGUGAAAGCAGGGGAUCUUCGGACCUUGCGCGAUUGAAUGAGCCGAUGUCGGAUUAGCUAGUUGGCGGGGUAAAGGCCCACCAAGGCGACGAUCCGUAGCUGGUCUGAGAGGAUGAUCAGCCACACUGGAACUGAGACACGGUCCAGACUCCUACGGGGGGCAGCAGUGGGGAAUAUUGGACAAUGGGCGCAAGCCUGAUCCAGCCAUACCGCGUGGGUGAAGAAGGCCUUCGGGUUGUAAAGCCCUUUUGUUGGGAAAGAAAAGCAGCAGGUUAAUACCCCGCUGUUCUGACGGUACCAAAAGAAUAAGCACCGGCUAACUUCGUG
rnacentral:rRNA from 1 species